CUGGCGGCGGCUGCCCGGGGGAACGGCUGCGAACCAAUGAGUGCAAGAGAGGACUCGGCUGCGACUGCCCCCUGCCCGGCUUCACAUCACUCACGGACAGAGGGACAAAGACAGGAAGAGAGAGAGAGAGAGAGAGAGAGAGAGAAAGAGAGAGCGCGAGAGCAAGAGAGAGAGGAAAGCACAGGGUCACAGGAAGACUGACGGGCAAAGAUACAGUUAUAGACCUAUGAACAGAGCCGCACGCCAAACAGGGACAAACCGUUGAGGGGAUGGACCCGGGCCGUCCCUACCUGAUGACUGUUGGUCUUGACUAUGUGCCUCACAUUCAGAGUCUUUUCAGGUCCCCUCUGCAGAAGCCUGGGCACUGGCCGAGAGGUGGGCUGGGGGCCGGAGGGGACGGAGCAGUGUGCUCAGUUGGGAGUCUGGAGCCCUGGGCCUCAAGUCACAAUGACAGCGGCAGUAACAUCGCAAAGGGUAAUUUUCUGUCCUCCCUGCGCCCACUUGAGAGACGGGAGGAAGAGAACCCUCUCAUCAUUUUUGGCUUCCUGGAGAUGGUCUCCUCCCUGCAGGUGGGAGGGUCCCGCCGGGCUCUGCUGAGCUAGAGGGAAAGUGGGCUGGGCUUGCUCACUGUCCAGGCUCCUGAAAUAGCGCCCUUUCCCGGAAUCGGCUUCUCUGGUUCCUUAGACCCUUGGCUCAGAACCUUACUCUGAAUCAGAAGGGAAAGGAGCACCCUCGAGGGCCCCAAUAGGACCAUUUGGAAAGAAAGGAAAAGGAUGACAAACCAGCUGGGCCUCUUUAAAGGAUCCCCACCUGGGAGGGGACAGGGAUGAAAAUAGAAGCAAGCAGGCAGUUGGGGGAGGUUUAGUGGGCUGGUGGGAUAAGUCUGCUGAUUAUUAAAGAGCAAAUUACCUGGGUCUAAUUAUGCACGCAUAAGCAGCACAUUUCCUCCUAAUACAGAUCGGAAGUGGCUCAGUUUCAGUCACAAAGAGUAGGAAAGGCUGAUAGAAAUAAAAGAUAAAUCUCAAAUGUGAGGGACGCCCCCCGCCCACACCACCACUGCCCUGUGUCUUUUUCUCCCU
rnacentral:lncRNA from 1 species